AUUGAACGCUGGCGGCAGGCCUAACACAUGCAAGUCGAACGGAAACAUGUCUAGCUUGCUAGAUGAUGUCGAGUGGCGGACGGGUGAGUAAUGCUUGGGAACUUGCCUUUGCGAGGGGGAUAACAGUUGGAAACGACUGCUAAUACCGCAUAAUGUCUACGGACCAAACAGGGCUUUUAGCUCUGGCGCAAAGAGAGGCCCAAGUGAGAUUAGCUGGUUGGUGAGGUAAAGGCUCACCAAGGCAACGAUCUCUAGCUGUUCUGAGAGGAAGAGCGGCAAGACUGGGACUGAGACACGGCCCAGACUACUACGGGAGGCAGCAGGGGGGAAUAUUGCACAAUGGGGGAAACCCUGAUGCAGCCAUGCCGCGUGUGUGAAGAAGGCCUUCGGGUUGUAAAGCACUUUCAGUUGUGAGGAAAAGUUAGUAGUUAAUACCUGCUAGCCGUGACGUUAACAACAGAAGAAGCACCGGCUAACUCCGUGCCAGCCGCCGCGGUAAUAC
rnacentral:rRNA from 1 species